rnacentral:rRNA from 1 species
GAUGAACGCUGGCGGCGUGCCUAAUACAUGCAAGUCGAGCGAACAGACGAGGAGCUUGCUCCUCUGACGUUAGCGGCGGACGGGUGAGUAACACGUGGAUAACCUACCUAUAAGACUGGGAUAACUUCGGGAAACCGGAGCUAAGACCGGAUAAUAUAUUGAACCUCAUGGUUCAAUAGUGAAAUACGGUUUUGCUGUCACUAAUAGAUGGAUCCGCGCCGCAUUAGCUAGUUGGUAAGGUAACGGCUUACCAAGGCAACGAUGCGUAGCCGACCUGAGAGGGUGAUCGACCAGCCGGGAACUGAGACACGGUCCAGACUCCUACGGGAGGCAGCAGUAGGGAAUCUUCCGCAAUGGGGGAAAGCUUGACGGAGCAACGCCGCGUGAGUGAUGAAGGUCUUCGGAUCGUAAAACUCUGUUAGUAGGGAAGAACAAAUGUGUAAGUACCUAUGCACGUAUUGACGGUACCUAAUCAGAAAGCCACGGCUAACUACGUG